UGCAACAGCCAUGUCACCCUGCAGCCCAAGACCAGUUACUCACUGAAGCUAAGCAGGGCUGAGGCUGGUCAGUACCUGGAUGGGAGACCACUAGGGAACACUAGGUUGCUGUUGGAA
rnacentral:rRNA from 1 species